rnacentral:rRNA from 1 species
AUUGAACGCUGGCGGCAGGCCUAACACAUGCAAGUCGAGCGGAUGAAGGGGGCUUGCGCCUGGAUUCAGCGGCGGACGGGUGAGUAAUGCAUAGGAAUCUGCCUGGUAUUGGGGGAUAACGUCCGGAAACGGGCGCUAAUACCGCAUACGACCAGAUGGAGAAAGGGGGGGAUCUUCGGACAUCAAGGGAGCAGAUGAGCCGAGGUGGGAUUAGCUAGUUGGUUGGGUAAAGGCCUACCAAGGCGACGAUCCGUAACUGGUCUGAGAGGAUGAUCAGUCACACUGGAACUGAGACACGGUCCAGACUCCUACGGGAGGCAGCAGUGGGGAAUAUUCGACAAUGGGCGAAAGCCUGAUCCAGCCAUGCCGCGUGUGUGAAGAAGGUCUUCGGAUUGUAAAGCACUUUAAGUUGGGAGGAAGGGCAGUAAGUUAAUACCUUGCUGUUUUGACGUUACCAACAGAAUAAGCACCGGCUAACUUCGUG